rnacentral:rRNA from 1 species
ACCAGACUCCUACGGGAGGCAGCAGUGGGGAAUAUUGCACAAUGGGGGAAACCCUGAUGCAGCGACGCCGCGUGGGUGAAGGAGCGUUUCGGCGCGUAAAGCCCUCUCGGCAGGGAAGAAGGAGGACGGUACCUGACUAAGAAGCCCCGGCUAACUACGUGCCAGCAGCCGCGGUAAUACGUAGGGGGCAAGCGUUAUCCGGAUUUACUGGGUGUAAAGGGAGCGUAGACGGCCAGACAAGUCUGAAGUGAAAAUCCAGCGCUUAACGCUGGAAGUGCUUUGGAAACUGCCGGGCUGGAGUGCAGGAGGGGCAGGCGGAAUUCCUAGUGUAGCGGUGAAAUGCGUAGAUAUUAGGAGGAACACCAGUGGCGAAGGCGGCCUGCUGGACUGCAACUGACGUUGAGGCUCGAAGGCGUGGGGAGCAAACAGGAUUAGAUACCCGAGUAGA